rnacentral:rRNA from 1 species
GUGGAUGUUCUGGCGCCAAGAACCGAUGAAGGACGUGGCUAGACUGCGAAAAGCCUCGGGGAGCUGUCAAGUAAGCAUUGAUCCGGGGAUGUCCGAAUGGGGAAACCCACGCCGUUGGAGACGGUGUACUCGUACCUGAAUUCAUAGGGUGCGGGAGGGAACGAGGUGAACUGAAACAUCUCAGUAGCCUCAGGAAAAGAAAGAAACCUCGACUUCCUGAGUAGCGGCGAGCGAAAAGGAAAGAGCCCAAACCUGCGUUAUGUAAGCCUGCAAGCGUUGUAGCGCGGGGGUAGUGGGAGCGUCGUCUGGGAGUUGCAGAUCCUGGGAGGUGCGAAGCCGGCUAGACGAAGCGUCUGGAAAGUCGUUCCGUAGAGGGUGAAAGGCCCGUAGUCGAAAGUCGGUGUAGUGUCUUGUGCGUUUUCCCAAGUAGCGCCAGUCCCGUGGAACCUGGCGUGAAUCUGGAGGGUCCACCCUCUAAGGCUAAGUAUUCCUUGGCGACCGGUAGCGCAAAGUAGCGUGAGCGAAAAAUGAAAAGAACCCCUGUUAGGGGAGUGAAAUAGAAUCUGAAACCAUGCACUUACAAGCGGUAGGAGCCCUAUGCCUUCGGGCCUGGGUGACUGCGUGCCUUUUGCAUAAUGAGCCAGCGAGUUACUUUCUGGAGCGAGGUUAAGCCUUUAAGGGGCGAAGCCGUAGGGAAACCGAGUCUGAACAGGGCGACAGAGUUUCAGGGAGUAGACCCGAAAGCGGGUGAUCUAUCCAUGGGCAGGUUGAAGCGGGUGUAACAGCUCGUGGAGGACCGAACCCACUUGCGUUGAAAAGCGAGGGGAUGACCUGUGGAUAGGAGUAAAAGGCUAAUCAAACUCGCAGAUAUCUGGUUCUCCCCGAAAUAGCUUUUGGGCUAGCCUCAGGUAAUAGUUUGUGGGGGUAGAGACACUGAUUGGGAUUGUGGGGGCCUAACCCGCCUACCCUUCCUAGCCAAACUCCGAAUACCACAAGCCGUAUCCUGGGAGUCAGACCUUGGGGGAUAAGCUCCAUGGUCAAGAGGGAAACAGCCCAGACCGCCAGCUAAGGUCCCUAAUACGAGCUAAGUGACGAAGGAAGUGUUUGUGCUAAGACAGCUAGGAUGUUGGCUUAGAAGCAGCCA